UACGGGGGGGGCAAGCGUUGUUCGGAAUUACUGGGCGUAAAGGGUUCGUAGGUGGCCUACUAAGUCAGACGUGAAAUCCCUCAGCUCAACUGGGGAACUGCGUCUGAGACUGGAAGGCUUGAGUGCAGGAGAGGAACGCGGAAUUCCAGGUGUAGCGGUGAAAUGCGUAGAUAUCUGGAGGAACACCGGUGGCGAAGGCGGCGUUCUGGACUGUUACUGACACUGAGGAACGAAAGCCAGGGGAGCAAACGGG
rnacentral:rRNA from 1 species